UCCCUGGUGGCUCAGAGGUUAAAGCAUAUGCCUGCAAUGCAGGGGACCUGGGUUCGAUCCCUGGGUUGGGAA
rfam:TPA: Bos taurus chromosome 28, whole genome shotgun sequence.